UCAGGGUUGGUCAGGGCCUUUUGGCCACGCAGAACGCACUUCUCUCUCCUCUCAGUUUGGAAAAGCAAAUCAUGGCACUGCUCGCUAGCUGCUAAAUGAUGCAGCGACACCGCUUCGGGGAGGAGAUACAAUUCUGCCGAAUGCAUUUGAAUUCACACAGCAUCUCUUCUCCAUUUGUAAGACAACGCAGGUCGGCCCUCUCGCUCGCAAAGGCAGUGAGGAUAUCAAGAGUGGGCUCGAUGGCGACUGGAAGCUACUGAUCCUGUUAAACGGAUAACUGGACGCUGGUAUGGCAGAUUCUGCAUGGUCCGUGACAGUUAAUGCAACUGGACAAAGACAUACGAAACAGAAUGAAAACAAAUAGUUGCAUUUUCUGGGAGAUUGUAUUUUCUAAUGCAUUGCAUUAGUGCAUUGCAGAGUGUGCUAGCAUUAUUACUUCUUUCUAUUAUCAACAGCUCUGACAUUCCUCUCAGCUCUGCAAAGGCUUUUUGACUUCCUGUCCAUCACCAAAUGACUUAUAAUACGGGGGGCUAAAGAGACAGAAAUUUUCCUAAAAGGAAAUGGAAAUGGAGAAAAAAUAUUCGACAACAUCUACGUCACUUCUCCACAUUCCAAACAAAGUAACUUUGUUCACGACAUCCUGCCUGGUUGAGAGACUAUUGCAGUUACAAAAUCUAUCUGCGGAUAUAACACCUUCGGCGCCAUGCUGACACACACACACACACACACACACACACACAGGCUCGCUUCAACGUCUGCGGAUAUGAUUUGAAGUUAAGUAGUACUGUCCUGAGGAAACAAAACUUGAGCCAUACAACUUCAGUGAAGGUCAGCGUAGUCUCUGAGAGAGAGAGUGGGGGAAAAGAUUUUCCACUGCACAGACAAACACACGCGCACCUGCAAAACAAGCUGCUGGAAGACGUUUGGAAGGAAGCCCAGUGCAAACUGAGUCCGCUUUAGGUCGGACAGCCUCAGUGCCUCUUUGCACACAAGGGCACAAACUCUUGUGUCAUAUUAAGCAUGUACAUAUUAAGUACAAACAUCAUUUUUUAAAUUAAAUAUUAAAUUGACAAUAAUGAACAGCUGGCUGACACUCUAGUGGCAAGUGGGAAAUGACGUGUUAAUUAUGUUUUUAAUUCAUUAAUCACAUGUUUUCUCAAGCUGUGGAAGUGAAUGUUGUUUUCCAGAAGCCUCAGCACUGAACUGCAAAGUGAAGUGCAAAUGCUUUCUUGGCUGCUUCAGUUGCUCAGACGUUCAAUGUCAGGCUGACUGAGCCAAAACAGGAUGGAAAAGCAUUUGCUGAGCGAUUUCUCCCACAGCUGAUCCAAGAGGGGAGUUAAGAUUCACAUUUCCAAAUGCCAAGAAGUGCGGUCGACGUCGGCGCGGUGAAUACCCCAAUUAUUAAUGUUGAAUCCUCCCUGCUAGGCUACAGUGCCUGUCGAGGAAUAAUCAGAUUUGGCAGACGGAAGACCACGGGGGAGGCAUUGAAACCAAAUGAGAUUUCUCAAAGGGAUCGCUUUACAGUACAGAUGCUGCGGGGUCGUGACACCCACUCUGGAUUACCCACAGUGACGGGUGUUUUGUCUGUCUGUCACUUCAUAUGUCCUGCCGAAUGAGACUCUCCGGCAUCGGCGGCAACUAGAAGGAAGGAUCUUGAUUCUAGGGGGGUGAAAUGGUGUAAGGGGGGUUGCCAUAGCAACUGCUCAUGCCCCCGUCUGCAAUCUGAUCUUGUUUAUCGAGUUCCUCUUCUUGUCAGGGCAGCUGCAUAGAGACAACCCCCGUUGUACAAAGGAACAGCGUCGGAUCGGCAUAGGAAUUGAUCACAAAGGCAAAGAAAAAUGCAACGUCUGAAAGAUCCCCGAGAAACUCCAGCCACAGUGUUAAUAAGUGCAGAGCGGGUAAUGAUCUUGUACCAUUAACCUCCCUGGCCUGAGACACCUCAUUUCCCUUUACCUCAGGCUGAAGUCAACCUUUUUGUCAACAGCUCUGAGAUCAAUUGAAAUAAUAAGUGUGCCAUUAGAAAAUCCAUACCAUGUCGGGCCCCAUUGAUAACAUACGUAUGUGUGUCUGUAUAUUUGAUAUGUAAUAAAACAGUCUGCAUGACAGUA